CAAGGGGGAUGUAUAAAUUUGGCUGGGGAGCAUUUUGUUGUCACGGGUGCUACGCCCCUGUCUGCGUCAUCACGAGUCGCCAGUCAGAGCUGUCUGUUUGGGUAAACCGUGUGGCUGGUGUUGGGUUGGCGUGUUUCCUCGCGGCAGCGUAUAGUCCAAGGUGAGCCGGAGAGAGAGCGGCGUUAAUAAUACCGACAGUGCCUGCCUUUACACGUUGUACCAUGGUGUGGUAGAUCUAUUAAAUCGAGUGAGCCUACGGGUGCACAGAAGUGCUGUGUACGCGAUUUCUGGGAAGACCCCACACACGAUCUACAGAACGAGCCUGCAGCUUUCGGGCUUACCCUUAUAGUAACCUGUGUUUCCGGAUCACUCAUCCCAAUGGUAUGUGUUUUAAAGGAGGUUUUUGUACGGCAGUUUCAUUAGAAGGCAUCACUGUGGUACACUUUUGGUGGAGGCUCCAAACUCAGUAUUAACAAGGCUCCCACUGUGUCUCUGCUCCCUCAGUCCCCCCUGCAGUCGUGUGAUGGCUCGCUGCUCUGCCUGCUGUCUGACUACUCUCCACAGGGGGCACUGGUGAGCUGGAUAGUGGACGGGUCAGAGGUGAAGGACGGGGUUCUGACCAGUGCAGAAGAAGAGAAGAACGGCCGUUACAGCCGCAGCAGCACCCUGACCCUCAGCAAAGACCUCUGGGGAAAAGCGGAGGAGUUUAUCUGUAAGGUCUCCCAUAGCAACGCCAUUCAUCCAGUCACGUUCAGAAAGAGUCAGUGUGAAGACUAGAGGAUCCAAGAUAGAGUUUAACAUCGAGCUGCUUCUGAUCUACACACUGCUGAUGUUUCUGUAUUUCCUCUCGUCACUGUGCUGUUGGUCUUCCUGUAGUUUCUGCUGAAAUAAAGCUGAGUUUUGGA